rnacentral:tRNA from 8 species
GGGCCAUUAGCUCAGUUGGUAGAGCACCUGACUCUUAAUCAGGGUGUCCUGGGUUCGAGUCCCCGAUGGCCCACCA